rnacentral:lncRNA from 1 species
UGGCCUCAUCGUAUUGCCGUGUGUUCGUCACAUCAUCAAAAAAUUAUCAUAUCAUCAGAUGGAUAAAAUACGGUCCAACAAUAUACUUUAUUAACUUAUUUUAUUUUUUAUUCUUUGAUCAUAUUUGGAUGAUUAGAUUCUCUGAUUUUAAUCAUAGUUGUUAAUUCAGAUAUUGCAUAAAGGGAGAGAAAGUAUACUUAAAUGGUCAUCAAGGGAAGGGAUGUCUGUGUGUCUUCAUACGAGAACCAGAUACGAUCA